rnacentral:rRNA from 2 species
UUUAUCGGAGAGUUUGAUCCUGGCUCAGGACGAACGCUGGCGGCGUGCCUAAUACAUGCAAGUCGAGCGGACAGAUGGGAGCUUGCUCCCUGAUGUUAGCGGCGGACGGGUGAGUAACACGUGGGUAACCUGCCUGUAAGACUGGGAUAACUCCGGGAAACCGGGGCUAAUACCGGAUGCUUAUUUGAACCGCAUGGUUCAAAUAUAAAAGGUGGCUUCGGCUACCACUUACAGAUGGACCCGCGGCGCAUUAGCUAGUUGGUGAGGUAACGGCUCACCAAGGCAACGAUGCGUAGCCGACCUGAGAGGGUGAUCGGCCACACUGGGACUG